UUUAUAACUGUCCAAUCUGUAGAAGUAGCAGGCGUUUAGGACGUCAGUGUUUCUCACUUUGUGCUCAUACACAUCAAAUUCACUGGUGUUAAAAUCCCAGUGUUAAGGCAUUUCAGAGUAAAGUGUUUAGUUUUAGUGUCAGAACUAGUGAAAUGAACACUAUUGAGUGUAGUGUGGGUGUAAAAUCACAGAGUUACAGGUAUCCAACACCUGCCAGUGUUAUUGUCAACAUCCGGGGAAUUGGACAGUGCUGCAACUGAGGAAUUUUCCAGACGCCAUUUUUCCCUCCAUCACCGAGAGGAUGAGAAGCUGCAACUGAGUUCCAGAUGGUUACUCGGUUACAUGGAUUCCCAAAUAGAAUGAGAUCUCUCUGACGAGGAGGAGGGUGUGGCCGGGUCGUGAUGGAGCAUGGCCGGCGCUGAAGCAGCUGAUCAGCGAGAGAGCGAGACAAGGAGCAGCUGGAGGCACCGGUUCCAGAGAGAGGCGCGUGCGGUCGCGUUGCGUGUGUGUGUUUGUUUUAAGUUCAGUUAUAUAAUUAAACUUGGUUUACUGUUCAGCCGAUUCCCGCCUCCUCUUUAGACUGUUACAAUCCCAUUGCAAAAGGCCGAGCUCAAGCUCUGGGUCCAUGAGCAGCAGUGACAUUGAAAAAUCAAAGCUACCCAUGAAUGUGAAGAGAUGAUGAACAGUUACAAAGUUCUUAAGCCAAAGAUCUAAUUAAACAGAUUCUACUGACAUCCUGGUGAGACAACAGUGCUUGAUGAAUAUAAGGAAGGUGGGACAGUGACUGACUGUACUAGAAGGCAGAUUGUUAACAUCCUUGCAGCACUUAUGGUUGAAACUGAGGGGAGAAUCCCUUGUCGAUUUACCAAAAAGAAAUAUGCAUUGUGUAGUAGCACCUUAAGGAUCCACUUUCCAAGAGAGGAUAUGACUUAAGCCUCCUGUUUGCACCAGAAACAGCUGCCAAACUGUUUGAAAAGUGGCCCACUCUAACAAAAAAAAGAUCAUCAGAGAAGCAGAGACCCUGACUUCCUCACGAGAGCUUGAACAUUUGCUGGAGUCUGCAAAGAACCAAUACACUGAAUCCUUGAAUGAGCAUCCAGAAUGGGACUAUGACACAUCUUUCCUGCUACUUUGCACAUUCUGCCACCUCAGCCUGUCAGAAAGAAAAGAUCGGUGCAGCUCAGGCCAUGGAUCAUCUAGUUGUUUUUCACAAGGAGCCAAGAGGAACACAUUGUGAACCAGGAUCAGCAGCCAUACCUACUAGCUUCAGGGACCAGCAAGCAUCAGGCAACUAACAGUUUUUAUGUUGUGAUGAACAAGAAACUGUUGAAUGUCAUACGGAUUUUGUUGUUUGAUUCGUUGAUGAGAUGCCAGCGUUUGGUAUGAUUGUUUGCGUAAUUCUGAGAAAGGAGUUUUCUUUCUUUUGUUUCACAAAUGGAGACUACAUUUGUAGAGCACUUUCAUGCUUUUCAUGUUUAAGAGCAAGAGCUCAACUUUUCAGUUAUUUUGCCUGGUCAACUGUGGUCUUAUAAGCCCUUUUUCAAGAUGCUUUAUGGAACCGAUUCACUUUUCUAUGUUGUACCAGACAUUUGCUUUAAGUGUACUUUACGUGUUACCUCAUGUAGUCAUAUACAAGGGUGUGACGAGGAGGGGGGGUGUGGCCAGGCCGUGGUGUUGACUAAUCAGUGGGCGAGAGAUAAGGGGAGGCCGGAGAUGCCAGUUCGAUAGAGAAACGCACCAAGCUGUGUGAGUGUGUGUGUGUGUGUGUGUGUGUGUGUGUGUGUGUGUUUGUUUUGCAGUUUAUGUUAUGUUUGAGUUCAGUUUGUUAUUAAAGUUUUACUUUGACUGUUCAGCUGGUUCCUACCUCCUCCUUGCCCUAUCUUAAGAAACUUGUUACAUAGGGGUUUUGAGUGCCCUGUAAAAAAUUGUGAAGUGUGCAGAGGAAACAAAUGUUUUUUUCUUUCAGGUUUUGUAUUAUGGGGUGGUUUUUUGGGUGGGGAUGAGGGUGAAGGGCAAAUUGAAUAAAUAAAUCACAGUCUGUCAGGUGGUCACAUACGGUCUGGUCGCACAAAUAUUUCAAAGUAUCCGAAGCUCAAAUCGGAUCCGAAAUUCUGCCUCUUCAGAUGGUCAGAACUCCACACAGCCGCCAUGUGACACUCUGUCGUUUGUCAGUCUGUCGGAUGCAGUAAAAAGGCGGCUUCAGUCCAGUAAGAGGAAAGAAAAUGUUCUGCAAAAAUGUAAUGAGUACUUUUCAAGUUUAAAUAAAAUUGAAAGGAGUAAAUGUACUAUUUUUUUUCUUUGUAAAUAUAAGUAAAAGUACAAGUAUUCCAUUUAAAUAGCACUCAAGUAAAGUACAAAUUCCCAAACAAUAAUACUUAAGUAUUUUUACUUUAAUUACUUUACACCCUUGGCUUUCUCAGAGCCCCAGCACACCUCAAACACAAACUUAACUUUUUUAUCACCACUUCUCAUAGCCACUUAAUUUUCCUUUUCAGAAUUUACAUUCAUUAUUAUUUCAAAUAAAUUCUUCUUGAGGCCUGACACCACACCCACUGUGUCUGUCUCUUGCUCACCCUGCCACAGCCGCUUUUUUAAGUGCAAAUAGCCUCGGUCAUCUUUUUGUCACCCUAUCGUUAUAGUUUUUGGGACCACAAUAAAACCGAUUUUCAUUAAGAGCUGUCUAGUGCGUUGCAAUCUAAAUUGAGCAUUUAUUGCUUUUAUGCAUUUUUAAUGGUUUUCAGUACGGGUAAAAAUUACCCGAAGGACAAAAUGAGGGUGCAUAUUCUUAAGACAAUACAAGGGUGAAUAGCAACAAAAAGCAUCUUCUUUGCAAUAAGUGAAAAUAUUGUUAGAUGCUAUUUGCACCCUGGUCCCAAUGAGCCUGUAUGUGCUGUGAUAGUGCGAGCUCGAACAAUCGUCUGUGUUCCGCGACUGCUGUCGGGUCCUUGAGUCAGUAGUGUAAUGUAGGGCAUAUGCAGGCAUACGUCAUAUGCCCACAUAACUUUCUAUGGAUUUUGCGCAUGCUCAUCUAAAUUGAGUGAUGAUACGUAUGGCCGCCAGAGCAAUGAGCAGGCUUUUAAGCCCUAACUUUUCAAUCUGCUAAGGUGAUGCCGCAGCACCAUUGAGUGAAUUGUGUGUGUAUUUUUAUUAAGUGUACAGAGAUCCUCUCUGAACAUGCACGGAGCAACAGGAGGCGGAAGCGCAACUAAAGACACUACAGACAGGAUAAACAAUCUAACUCAGAACGUUCGUUUCAGUUGCGGUUGGAUAUUUGAAAACCAAUCAUAUUGUCCGUUUCAGUAAGGGGCGGAACAAGAAAGCAAAACCCCACCUGAAAUUAUUUUCCAGUUUGUAGGCUACUUUGAAAGAUAAGGGUAUAGCUGCAGGCAUUGCUUCAAAAAGGGGCGUGAGCUCCAAAUCGCCAUUGAAGAUAUAGGGAGCCCCAAAUCUAACCCUUUCCCUAUGUUAACCGUGUGUGGAAGUGACGGCCCCUUUUGGAGUAACCCCGCCAAAUUGUAGAGUAACUCCGCCCUCUUUUGGAGAUCCCGCCCCAUUUGGAGUUCUCCGGCCUGCAGCUCUAUCUACUUUCAUUGAAAUGCUAAAGCAUCAGCAGCAAUGGAGUCACCAUUAUUUGCGCUGUAUAUUUACUUUGCUGGUAGCCUGCUAAACGUAAAAAUAUUUAUGCAUUGAAGUACAACGUAUGCUAUUAAACUUGGGAAAGUACUUUGUGUCACUUCACCCGUGCUAGAUUUAGAUGCUGUUCCCAGGUGCUUUGUCCAGUAUUUAUAUCAAAUGUCAUUUUUUCUGCCUUUUACUGCUGUCAGUGAUGCCUUUUAUCAUGAUAUUUCAAUUUAUAUUUCUAAGUUGGAAAAAACAUAUGCAUAAUUCUUAUGUAUAUGGUAAUAUAAGAUAACUUGUUAAAGUGAAUAUCACUACACUUAUAUAAGCUAUAUACAAUGUUUAUAACAGUUUAUAAUGUAUUUUGUGUGUGUUUUAUUAAUAAAAAAGUAAUUAUAAAGUAUUACCCAUUUUACUUGUAAUAAAAAGAACAUUAAUCAAACCUAUUAAGUUACCACCAUUCUCAGUAGUGUACUGUACAGCAUGCCAGCAAGAAGGCAUACAGUUUGUUUGUUCAUAUGGGACUUGAU